CUACGGGAUGCUCCAGUGGGGAAUAUUGGGCAAUGGGCGCAAGCCUGACCCAGCUAUGCCGCGUGAAUGAUGAAGGCCUUAGGGUUGUAAAGUUCUUUUAGAUGGGACGAUAAUGACGGUACCAUCAGAAAAAGCUCCGGCUAACUUCGUGCCAGCAGCCGCGGUAAUACGAAGGGAGCAAGCGUUGCUCGGAUUUAUUGGGCGUAAAGGGUGUGUAGGCGGUUUUGUAAGUUAGAUGUGAAAGCCCCGGGCUUAACCCGGGAACUGCAUUUAAGACUGCAUUACUUGAAGUUCGAAGAGGUUAGCAGAAUUCCCAGUGUAGAGGUGAAAUUCGUAGAUAUUGGGAAGAAUACCAAUGGCGUAGGCAGCUAACUGGUCGAUACUUGACGCUGAGGCACGAAAGCGUGGGGAGCAAACAGGAUUAGAUACCCUCGUAGUC
rnacentral:rRNA from 1 species